UACGAAGGGGGCUAGCGUUGCUCGGAAUCACUGGGCGUAAAGCGCACGUAGGCGGAUUGUUAAGUCAGGGGUGAAAUCCUGGAGCUCAACUCCAGAACUGCCUUUGAUACUGGCGAUCUCGAGUCCGGGAGAGGUGAGUGGAACUGCGAGUGUAGAGGUGAAAUUCGUAGAUAUUCGCAAGAACACCAGUGGCGAAGGCGGCUCACUGGCCCGGUACUGACGCUGAGGUGCGAAAGCGUGGGAGCAACAGG
rnacentral:rRNA from 1 species